GCCUGCAGCACGCCGGUAGCCGCGGACUGGCGCCCGCCACCCCUCCUCCUCUUCGUUCCUCAUCGAGACCGGCCUCCACCGCCUCCGAUGGCAGCAUCCACGGCGGGCUGCUCGUGGUGGGGUACAGAAAGGUGGUUGCCGGCGAUGAGAAGCGCGUCCCCGCAGAAGAGAAGGCGGCAGACGACCUGGACAUGGUCGACAAGGCGCUCGUCCACCCCAAGCUCGAGGGAGACGUCCUCUACCCUGACAUUGUUGGUAUUUAAGAAACGUAGCGACCAGGAAAUCUGCUUGAGAAGGAGCUCGUCCCAGCUCCAGGAGAUGUCCUCAACGCCCUGAACAUGUUGACGCCCUGCAGAAGAAGGUCAUUUAUAUCCCCCUGUUCUGCCAUGUACUGCAGCCUAGCUCUGAUGCUGCUAGUGCUUACCAUGUCGACGCCCUGCAGAUCGAAGGUCUACUAUAUUUACUGCAUGCACUGGAUCGAAUUUGUUUCAUUGUUGAUUCACUUGCCUAUGUGUUGUGUCUUUUCUCUGGCUGACUCGGUCAGGCUACUGUAUUCUCCUACUAUGUAGCAGUUUGGUUUGCAUGUUCAGGUUCUAAAAUAUUAUUUACUCAGGAGUAGUUUCUCUUGUCUAGUUGAACUCGUCAGUUGUAUCCUAUAUGUAGACAGCCACCAGACAUAAAAGAAAAGAGUUGUUACUUGCUA